AACGCACAUUGCGCCCGCCAGUAUUCUGGCGGGCAUGCCUGUUCGAGCGUCAUUUCAACCCUCAAGCCCCCGGGCUUGGUGUUGGGGACCGGCCACCGCUGACCUCCGGGUCUGCAGGCCGCCCCCUAAAUGCAGUGGCGGUCACGUCGCGGCAUCCUCUGCGUAGUAGCACACCUCGCAGGCGGAUCGCGACGCGGCCACGCCGUAAAACCCCCAUCUUCUGAAAUGUUGACCUCGGAUCAGGUAGGAAUACCCGCUGAACUUAA
rnacentral:misc_RNA from 1 species